rnacentral:rRNA from 1 species
AUUGAACGCUGGCGGCAGGCCUAACACAUGCAAGUAGAACGAGUGGCGGACGGGUGAGUAAUGUCUGGGAAACUGCCCGCUGGAGGGGGAUAAAUACUGGAAACGGUAGCUAAUACCGCAUACCAUCGGAUGUGCCCAGAUGGGAUUAGCUAGUAGUGGGGGUAACGGCUCACCUAGGCGACGAUCCCUAGCUGGUCUGAGAGGAUGACCAGCCAACGUGGAACUGGGACACGGGCCAGACUCGUACGGGAGGCAGCAGUGGGGAAUAGUGCACAAUGGGCGCAAGCCUGAUGCAGCCGUGCCGGGUGUAUGAUGAAGGCCUUGGGGUUGUAAAGUACUUUCAGCGAGGAGGCGUUACUCGCAGAAGAAGCACCGGCUAACUCCGUGCCAGCAGCCGCGGUAAUAC